AAACACCCACUACACGCUGCAAAUAACUUGUGGCCAUCGAGCUGUGUCAGAGAACAUUAGGCAGCUCCUGCACCAGCACUUAGCACAGCUGCUUGGCUGCCUGGCACUGUUUUCUCUCUGCUGUCCCUGCUGAACAGAAAGAUACGCUUCUACAAAAUUACCUUCUACCCUGAGAUGCCAUCAAAACUUAGGACGCUGUGUAACAUACUUGUAGGAGAAAACAAAAGCUGGAAGCUACUAAGGAGUAUUUGAGCUCCUUGAAACUGAGUAUUUUCUCUGCACCAACCAAUGCAAAAAACAGCUUCAGGAUGAAAACCACGGUCAAGCAUUGCCUACGUGCCACGGGAGAAAAGCAACAUGGCCACCAGAUCAAGAUUGGAAAGAUUACACACAUGAAAGCAGUUAGAGUGGUUAAUCUGCUACUACACCUACAGUAACUGGGUGUAGCAGCGCCCUUUUUAACAAUGUCAAGGUUGUAUUCAUUUAGCCAUCCGAGACACGUGAAAAGACAAACAGUUUCUGGCACUGUAAUCUACUUCAGUCUAUUUAGAGCACGUGGCUAUCUCAGCAAUGAUUCAGAGCAGGAGAAGGUUGAGGUCACUCCUCGGCCAGACGUGACGACUUAGGACAAAAAUAUUUUAACUCCCUGUGGGUUGGGUUAGUUUUGUUUUUAAGCAUGCCGCUGGCAGGCAGAAAGCAGCCAUUUCUUUAGUUGUAGUAGAGAAGAAUGUAAUUUCUAACCUUAACAGACCUUCCUCUACCGCAGACAAUUACUCAGAAAUGCACAGCACAGCAGAUUCAACUGGACCUGUAAUAGUAAUAAAGGCAAUCCUCUGAAAAAAGCUCAGCUUCUGGUGGCUCAGGGUAUUUUUAAUUGCUAUUUCAAUUAAAGGA